AGCCCCUUCCCCCGCUCCCCCCGAGCCCUCUCGGACCCCUCCCGGGACCCCCCAACUCCGCCUAAGACCCCCCCGGGGCUGGGUACAGCCGCAGCAGCUCGCUCCGCGCCGCCAUCUUGCCUCCGUGCCGUCACUUCCGGCUGGCAGGCGACGCUCUGGGCUCUCCUCUCGCUGGUCAAAGCCGCUCUAGGCCUCCGAGGUCCUCCAGGCGCCACUGCGAGCGGCUCCGGGCCAAAGCAAUGACUGUGCUCAGCUGCAGGGAUGGAUUUGCCUGCACUCAAGCUGCUGCUGCCAGAGCCCCUCCGUGUCAAUCUGUGCUGCCGUUGGGUUCUGCAGCUCUCUCCAGCAAGCAUGGCAUGAGCUGAAGGAGCAGCAGGAGCAGCAUGGCCGUUCCCCAGGCAGCAGGAGGGUUCAGCCCAGCACCAGCUCAUGCGGGAGGAGCAGAUGCUGAGGAACAUCCCCCACGAGACGCAGGUGGCCAAAGAGGCUGGGUCAGGAUGUUCAAGAUCCAUCAGUGACAGUGAGCUUUCCACUGGAUGAAGAGAGAGUGCCACAGGACAGAUUUCCAUUUGGAUGGAAUCCAGGCUGGUAGCACUGCACAAACCUGAAAGUGAAUAGGAAAUACUUGACAGGAUGAUGACAGAGUCUGCAUGGACUUGAAUAGAAUUCAGAAGGGUGCUGUGGCUGUUUGUGCCGUCGAUGCAUCUGGCUGCUUCACAGCAGAGGUGGCUGACUUGGCUGGACAGUAUGUGAAGAUGUGGUCAUCAAGCUUGUGCCAGCCAGGUAGUGUAACACGACUUGUCAGAGGAGAGAAGUCCACUCAUUUUCCCUACUUGUGGGAUGUGUUGCAAUGAUGCAGAUAAGAACAUCACUAAAGUACUGAAAGAGAAAGGCAGCCUGGUUCACAGCAGUAGUUUUAAGCACAGCUCUCCUUUCUGCUGGAGGUCUGAUACUCUGCUGAUAGACAAAGCUGUGCCAAGCUGGUUUGUAAGAGUGGAACACAUGGUGGAGAAACUGCUGGAAUGUAAUGCCCAAUGCUACUGAGUCUUUUCAUCUUCCCUGGACUAACUGAAAACCCCUCUUUCAGUAUGUGACCUUGCCUGAGUUGCCUGCUGUUGUGGUCUUCAAAGAUGGAGCUUCCUUUGUUUCUGAUGGUAAGUAAAAGUGGAUAUUGGCCAUAUCAUGGAAUCAGCCAGGCUGGAAGAGACCUCCAAGAUCACCCAGUCCAACCUAGCACCCAGCCCUAACCAAUCAACUGGACCCUGGCACUAAGUGCCUAACAACCAGCCUGUACCUCUCUUGGCACAACUUGAGACUGUGUCCCCUUGUUCUGUUGCUGGUUGCCUGGCAGCAGAGCCCAACCCUAGCUGGCUACUGCACUGCUCCUGUGCACUGCGGCCCUCCUCUGGACCUGCUCCAGCAGGUCCUUGUCUCUUCUGUUGGAGGUUCUGUAGCUGUGUGCAGUACUCCAGGUAGGUCUCACCAGAGCAGGGCAGACUCAUAGACUCAGAGUCAAGCAGGUUGGAAGAGAGCUCCAAGCUCAUCCAGUCCAAUCUAGCCCCCAGCCCUGUCCACUCAACUAGACCAUGGCACUAAGUGCCUCACCCAGGCUGUUCCUGAGCGCUUCCAGACACGGUGACUCUGUGGUGCCACAGCAAAAUACUCCAGGUGGGCCCUCAAGGGUAUUCUUUGAGCUGUCAUGGAAGGGCUGUGCUUGCCUUCCUCUUCGCUCUAUUGCCUUGCAACCAGUCACCCACCAAAGAAAAGUUCACUCAGUGACCUCCUUGAUCUGCAUUUGAUUUAGUUUUACUUUUGAAGUGGCCUGGAGAAGGAAAUUUUGUCAAAGAGAAACAAUUUUAAACUGCUUUUUUGUGGUGUGACCUGUCUGCUUUUGCCACCCCUGUCAAAACACACAAGCCUUGUUUCAAUCCAGGCUCCUAAUUCACUUUGCACAAAUCUUACUCUCUUAAAAUGUAUUAGAAGGGUUUUUGUAAACCAGUCAGUGCAGAGGCCCUGCAAGAGACUGGAUAUUGUUUUAUGUGCAGCUUACCAUUGGGCAGGAAAGUGCUGUCAGUCACAGCUCCCUUCCCAUGUCACAUUCCCUGCUGGGAGAGGAUUGUUUGUCCUUGGUUUGGGUGAAACUAAUCAGCCAAUCAGCACUGCAUGCUGUGCUCUAAUACACUUUUUGUUCAACAGCUGCAAAUUGCUUUAGCAGCUUAGGAGUGACAUUUCUGGAAAGGUGAGAGACCUUGUCUGGAAACAGUAGAGGGUUAAAAAUAGGCUUCUCUAGGCUGAAAUAAAUGUUAUUGCCCACCUCACAGCAGCAACAGAAGAACACAUUCUGCUUGCUUGCUUGCUUUCUCUUUUGUUGUCAGAGUGUGAAGAUGGUGAUUUGUCAUCCUGGAUAAACAGAGCAAGAUUUCAAGGGUAUCUUCAUGUGGAUGGCUUUACACUUCAUGAACUUGGAGACAGAGGAAAACUUGUGGCUAUUGCAGUCAUUGAUGAUAAAAACUCUUCAGUGGAACAUACCAGGAACAGAACUGAGUGUUGGUGACAGUGUGGGAGAAGUUUGCUGAUAUGAUGUAGAGAACUUGGGGAAGUUUGUUAGAUCUGAAGAGAUGCCAGGGUGAAAACAAGAGAGCAGCAAGGCAGGAAGCACAAAAGCAAACCUCUCUCAUGAAGGAAACAGCACAACUGCAAGCACAGCUUUAAGCACAGCAUACCAAGGAGGAACAGAAAUCCCAAGCAGAGCAAAGGGGAGGAGUGGCUUAGAGAAAAGCAAAAGCACCCCACAAAGGACACAGCCAAAACACCACCCCACAAAGGACACAGCCAACCUACCCCCGCAAAGGGGAUCAGCCAAAGGCUUCUGCCUCUCCUGGGGCAGCUUAAAAAGGGGAGGUCAAUUGAAGUCUCCUCCCACCCCAGCUGUGGCCACUUUGCCCUCCCUGCUCAGUGCCCUUUAGAAGCAGAGCAGGAGGAGCCCAGCCCCAAGCUGGGCCCAUUGUGGGCCAAGGGAUCCUCCGCCUGGCAUCCCAGGGAGCUGAACUGCUUUGCCCCAGCCCAGCUGCAGAUCUGCACUCAGCCUCAGCCCCAAGCCCUGGCAGGGUGGGAUGCUUUGGUACCAGGCCGUGGAGCUGUUUGAAAUGCAAUUGCUGCUUGCAGCUGGUUCAGAAAUGGAUUUCCUGUGGCUGUGGGGGCAGAAAUGUCUCUGUGCACACGCUCAGAGGACAGGUCCCUGGAUUGCAGUGCUGCUCCAAUGGCCUGUGGUGGCUGCAGGCAGCCGCGGCCCGGGGAGCCCAAGACUCAGCGUGUGGAAGGGUUGGGAGCAGCCCUGGGUGCCUGCAAGGAUUCGGGAGGUGAGCUGAGCAGGCCCGAGCAGGUCUGAAACCCUGCCACGGAGAGGCACAGGCCCCGCAGCAGUGCCUGCAUUUCAGCAGCUGCCCAUCGGAGCUAAGCACAGCCUCGGCUCAGAGGUUUGCACUUUGCUUUCCACUCCACUGGCCAAGCCAGCCAGAUGUGCAGCAGCAGCAGGAUGGGCACGAGGGCCCCAGCUGCUGCGGUGAAUCCGUCAGCACGGACGCUGGUGCCGCUGCAGCCUGGCCCUGCAGCCUGGCAGGGUGAUCUCCUUUGGCUCGGCUCCUGUGGGCUCCAGAUGCUAACAGAGCAGCUGGAUGAGCAGAAAGCCUCUCGUGCAAACGGCUGUGGAGUGCUUCUCUCUGUUCCCUGCUGCUGGGAGGUGCUGACAGGUUAGAGUUAGUGGAGGGGUGUGAAGAAUUUGCAGGGAUCUCUAAGGGUCUGCAGACCCCUUUGAAAGGUCUGAAGUUGUCUGUAGAUGUCUCUAGGGUGCUGCAGGGGUCUGCAGGCACCUCUCAAAUGUCUGGAGGGGUCUGUAGCUGUCUGUAGAGGUCUCUAGAGCUUUGUAGAGGAAUGUGGGUGCCUGCAGCUGUCUCUAGGGGGGUGUGGAGGUCUGCAGGCACCUUUCAAAUGUCUGGAGGGGUCUGUAGAGCUCUGGCAGGGUCUGUAGAUUUUGGCAGGGUUCUGUAGGAGUCUCUGGGCAGCUUUUAAAGGUGUGAAGGGGUCUGUAGCUAUUUGUCAGGGUCUGAGAGAGUCUGCAGAGGUCUGUAGAGUUGAGUAGGUGUUUGGAGAUUUCUGUGUGGGUCUGUAGGUGCCUGCAGGCAUCAUUGAAGGCUCUGGAGGGGUCUGUAGAUGUGUGCAGGGGUCUGUUAAAUAUCUGGAGAGGUCUGGAUGGGUGUGGGGAGCUCUGUAGGGGUCUGUAUGUGUUUGCAGGCAGCUGCAGGGGUCCGUAGAUGCCUGUAGGGAUUUGCAGGGCUCUGUUAGUUCUCUGUAGAGGUCUGCCUGGGUCUGGAGGUGCCUUUUAAUGGGUCUGUGGAGGUCUGGAGGGCUCUACAGAGUUCUGCAGUGGGCUGCAGUGGUCUGUUAAAGGUGUGGAGGGGUCUGUAGGUGUCUGCAUUCAGUGAAGGAGUUCUUUGGCUCCAGGACACUUUUGUCCAGUGUCUCUAGAGUGUGACUGUCCCAAAUGAGAUAGAGGUGCACUGGCAGCGUGUUUGCAGGUGGCCCCAAGCUGAGUGGUGCUGGAGAGCAAGCCGAGGGGCAGGAUGGCAUCCAGGAAACACCUGGGCAGGCAGGGGAGCUGGGCCCGGGCGAAGCUUGUGAGGUUCCAGGAGAGCAAGGGCAGGGUGCUGCGUGUGGGCGGGAGGAAGCCUGCCUGUGCCUGCGGGCUGGGGGCGGAGGCGAUAAAGAGCAGCCCUGGGGGUGCUGGGGAGAAGCUGAGUGCGAGCACAUGGUGUGAGCUUGCAGGCCAGGAGGAGCCUGUCGGUGUCUGCAGGGCUGUGCAAGCAGCUGUAGGAGUCUGCCCAGGUCUGUAGGUGUCUGCAGGGGUCUUCUAAAAGGCCUGGAGGCUUUUCUGAGUGUGCAGAGGUGUGCGGGGGUCUGGAGGCAUCUGUAGGUACCCUUAGGGGCCUGGAGGGCUCUCUGGGUGUCUGUGGAGGUGGUUAGGGGUCGGUAGAGGUGUGUGUGGUGCUGUAGGUGUCUCAAAAGGCUGUGAAGGUCUUGAGGUGCCUUGCAAAGGUCUCGAGGUGUCUGUAGGGGUCUGCAGGGUUCUCUGGCAGUCUGUAGAGGUCUGUGGGGGUCUCUAGGGGCCUCUUAAAGACAUGCAGGGGUCUGCAGGGCUCUAUGGAAAGGUCGGGAGGGGUCCCUAGAGGUCUCUAGGAGGCUGGAGGGGUGUGCAAGUGUCUGUAGCAUUCAGCAGGUGUGUGGAGGUUUCUGUUCUGGGCCCGCAGGUGUCUGCAGGCAUCUUGUAAAGGUCUGCAGGGGUCUGUGGAGCUCUGUCAGGCAUCUGUUAAGUGUCUGCAGGAAUCCAUUGAAGGUGUGGAGGGGGCUGCAGGGCUCUGCAGAGGAGGCUGUGGCUGUGUGUAGAGGUCUUAGGGGUGUGAAGAGUUUGCAGGGGUCUGUAAGGGUCUGCAGAGCCCUUGGAAAGGUCUGAAGUUGUCUGUAGGAGUCUGGAGAUGUCUCUAGGGCACUGCAGGGCUCUGCAGGGGUCUGCUGCUGCGGGAGGAGUGGGCUGGCGGAGCCACGCCCCCCGGGCUGCGGAGCCACGCCCCCUCCCUGGCCUUUCUUGCCUGGCUCUGGUUGCUGCCUGUUUAUUUGCAUAGCCACACCCCCUGUCCCCUUGCUGUCUAGUCCCCGCCCCUUUCUUUCUGAGCCACGCCCCCUUCCCUGUUCUGUGUCUGGUCCCCGCCCCUUCUCCUUGGCCACGCCCUCUCCCCAUGCUGUGUCUAGUCCCCGCCCCCUCCAUGGGCACACCCUCUCCCCAUGCUGUGUCUAGUCCCCGCCCCCUCCAUGGCCACGCCCUCUCCCCAUGCUGUGCCUGGCCCCGCCUCCUCGGCCCCGCCCCCGCCCCCCAGUAACUAAUAAUAUGGUGACAGAUUUGGAGCUUCCUUUGGAGGAGGAGUUCAGGAGGUGGCUGCUGAUUGGUGGAUUGUGGUGGGCGUGGUUUGCCGCUUGUUCUGCCUUCCUCAUUUGCAUAAAUUUCAAUAUCAGGCUCUG